rnacentral:rRNA from 1 species
CAAGGCUGAGGCGUGACGACGAGGCACUACGGUGCUGAAGCAACAAAUGCCCUGCUUCCAGGAAAAGCCUCUAAGCAUCAGGUAACAUCAAAUCGUACCCCAAACCGACACAGGUGGUCAGGUAGAGAAUACCAAGGCGCUUGAGAGAACUCGGGUGAAGGAACUAGGCAAAAUGGUGCCGUAACUUCGGGAGAAGGCACGCUGACACGUAGGUGAAGUGAUUUACUCAUGGAGCUGAAGUCAGUCGAAGAUACCAGCUGGCUGCAACUGUUUAUUAAAAACACAGCACUGUGCAAACACGAAAGUGGACGUAUACGGUGUGACGCCUGCCCGGUGCCGGAAGGUUAAUUGAUGGGGUCAGCGCAAGCGAAGCUCCUGAUCGAAGCCCCGGUAAACGGCGGCCGUAACUAUAACGGUCCUAAGGUAGCGAAAUUCCUUGUCGGGUAAGUUCCGACCUGCACGAAUGGCGUAAUGAUGGCCAGGCUGUCUCCACCCGAGACUCAGUGAAAUUGAACUCGCUGUGAAGAUGCAGUGUACCCGCGGCAAGACGGAAAGACCCCGUGAACCUUUACUAUAGCUUGACACUGAACAUUGAGCCUUGAUGUGUAGGAUAGGUGGGAGGCUUUGAAGCGUGGACGCCAGUCUGCGUGGAGCCGACCUUGAAAUACCACCCUUUAAUGUUUGAUGUUCUAACGUGGACCCGUAAUCCGGGUUGCGGACAGUGUCUGGUGGGUAGUUUGACUGGGGCGGUCUCCUCCUAAAGAGUAACGGAGGAGCACGAAGGUUGGCUAAUCCUGGUCGGACAUCAGGAGGUUAGUGCAAUGGCAUAAGCCAGCUUGACUGCGAGCGUGACGGCGCGAGCAGGUGCGAAAGCAGGUCAUAGUGAUCCGGUGGUUCUGAAUGGAAGGGCCAUCGCUCAACGGAUAAAAGGUACUCCGGGGAUAACAGGCUGAUACCGCCCAAGAGUUCAUAUCGACGGCGGUGUUUGGCACCUCGAUGUCGGCUCAUCACAUCCUGGGGCUGAAGUAGGUCCCAAGGGUAUGGCUGUUCGCCAUUUAAAGUGGUACGCGAGCUGGGUUUAGAACGUCGUGAGACAGUUCGGUCCCUAUCUGCCGUGGGCGCUGGAGAACUGAGGGGGGCUGCUCCUAGUACGAGAGGACCGGAGUGGACGCAUCACUGGUGUUCGGGUUGUCAUGCCAAUGGCACU